rnacentral:rRNA from 1 species
UACGUAGGGUGCGAGCGUUGUCCGGAAUUAUUGGGCGUAAAGAGCUUGUAGGUGGUUUGUCGCGUCUGCUGUGAAAAUCCGAGGCUCAACCUCGGACUUGCAGUGGGUACGGGCAGACUAGAGUGUGGUAGGGGAGACUGGAAUUCCUGGUGUAGCGGUGGAAUGCGUAGAGAUCCGGAAGAACACCGGUGGCGAAGGCGGUCUGCUGGGGUCGAACUGACGCUGAGGCGCGACAGCGUGGGGGAGCAAACAGG